UACGUAGGGGGCAAGCGUUAUCCGGAUUUACUGGGUGUAAAGGGAGCGUAGACGGCGGUGCAAGCCAGAUGUGAAAUCCCGGGGCUUAACCCCGGAACUGCAUUUGAAACUGUAGGCCUUGAGUGAUGGAGAGGCAGGCGGAAUUCCCGGUGUAGCGGUGGAAUGCGUAGAUAUCGGGAGGAACACCAGUGGCGAAGGCGGCCUGCUGGACAUUAACUGACGCUGAGGAGCGAAAGCGUGGGGAGCAAACAGG
rnacentral:rRNA from 1 species